AGAUUUUAAUCUGGGUUCGGGAUGAACGCUAGCGGCAGGCUUAACACCUUCAAGUUGAGGGGCAGCAUUUCCAGCAAUGGAUGAUGGCGACCGGCGGAAGGGUGCGUAACGCGUGAGCAACAUGCCCUAUACAGGGAGAUACACCAGGGAAACUUGGUCUAAUAUCCCAUAGCAUUCAUUGAAGGCAUCUUUAAUGAAUUAAAGCUUCGGUGGUAUAGGAUUGGCUCGCGUGACAUUAGCCAGAUGGUGAGGUAACGGCUCACCAUAGCAAUGAUGUCUAGGGGUUUUGAGAGGAAGGCCCCCCACACUGGGACUGAGACACGGCCCAGACUCCUACGGGAGGCAGCAGUGAGGAAUAUUGGACAAUGGAUGGAAAUCUGAUCCAGCCAUGCCGCGUGCAGGAAGACGGCCUUAUGGGUUGUAAACUGCUUUUAUACGGGAGCAAUAAGGGUUACGAGUAAUCCGAUGAGAGUACUGUAUGAAUAAGGAUCGGCUAACUCCGUGCCAGCAGCCGCGGUAAUACGGAGGAUCCGAGCGUUAUCCGGAAUUAUUGGGUUUAAAGGGUGCGUAGGCGGCCAUUUAAGUCAGCGGUGAAAUUUUGCAGCUUAACUGUAACAGUGCCGUUGAUACUGUUUGGCUAGGAUUUGGUUGUAGUGUGCGGAAUGUGUGGUGUAGCGGUGAAAUGCUUAGAUAUCACACAGAACACCGAUUGCGAAGGCAGCACACUAAGUCAUUAUUGACGCUGAGGCACGAAAGUGUGGGGAUCAAACAGGAUUAGAUACCCUGGUAGUCCACACUGUAAACGAUGAUAACUCGCUGUCGGCGAUACACAGUCGGGGCCAAGCGAAAGC
rnacentral:rRNA from 1 species